UGAAGCAGUAGGGAAAGCGUAUGUUGUAUGGAUGCAAAGUGUAUGUAAGCUGUAUGUAUCACACUUUAGCUGAGGAAGCAGUAGCUAAAGUGUGUUGUAUGUAUGUAAUGUGCAUUUUGUAUACAUGUAAAUUGUGUGUGGCGUUUUGGGGCGACGACUGUGUAUGUAAGUUGUAUGUGUGGCUGUUUGGUGAUGGAUUCAAUACCAGGGCCUAUCUAUAUUUGCUUCAAAUAUUGUUGUUACAAUAACAGUAUCCUUCCUUGCAAAAAUCUCAAGAAUGACGCUUUACCUUGCAAUCUUCACAACCACAGCUACUCCAAUCUUGAAUUUUCAUCCAAUCCAACCCAAACCCAAACUCUCUCUACAGCUUCAGUUCUCAAAAACCAUUUCAAUAAAGCAGUUGUCAGUUCCUCUCAGCGCAACACAGCCUCACAGAUACACCUAUCCCGACCCAAUCCCUGAAUUUGCUGUUGCUGUAAUGUAGCUCAUUCACGUAUCACUCUUUUUUAUAACUAAAUUUAACCUUUUUAUUACUAGUAUAGUAGUAAUAAAUACUCACUGCACUUAGACCCUCUCCGGACUCCCACUUUGUGUGGUUACAUUGGAUAUGUGGUUUUUGUUGUGUGUUAGAAUGGCAUGUGCCAAAAUAGAGUAACUAGCUUUAAAUUGAGUAGUUUUUUCCUUUUCUUUUGGUUAAAAUUGAUUCAUUGAUAGAAUUGCGAACCUUGUUUGCCUUUAAAUGAUAAGUGCUUUAUCAGUAUUGGAAUGCAUCAACUAUUCAUGUCGUCUGACAUAAUUAGUUUAUUUAUCUAAUAUUUGAUUUAUUUAUUUGCGGAAUGUAGGAAACUCAGAAGUUCAGGGCCGAACUCUUGAAGAAACUUUCCAAGGAAAAGGAGAUUCUUGGAGAUGAACUUGAUGAUGUUGUUAGUGUUUGUGCCGAGGAUAGAAUUUAAAGUAGAUGAUGGAAGGGUGUUAAUCUCCUUUGGGUUCAAAGAUGAGGACAAAAGCCAAGAACUAAGGGUGGUGGAGAGGAGAGUUGAAAACACUAGCAAGUAAGCUACCACCAGAUGCUAUCUCAUUUUCAUCAAAGUUGUCAAAGAUUGAACAAAGUGAAAAUGCUAGCAAUACCUUAUUGAAACUUGAAGACGGAACAUGUUUAUCUGUUAAGAUAGUGAUCACUUGUGAUGGUGUCUGGUCACCAAUGGCUACAUGGAUAGGAUUUCGACAGCCUAAGUAAGUAGGGCAUAUCGCCUUUCGAGGCCUGGGAUAUUUUUUUGAAGGACAGCCAUAUGAACCAAAAGUACACUACACUUACUGAAGAGGAUUACGUGCUGGAUUUGUUCCUGCUUCUAAAACCAAGGUCUAUUGGUUUGCCCUGUGCAACAACUCAUCUCCAAGUAUAUGCUUUAUUAAUGCUAUCAGGUCUCGUUCUUCAUUUCGGCACUAAUGUUAAGGUCCAAGAAUCACAGAUCCAUCAAUAUUGAGACAAACAAGCCAUUCCGUCAAACUACUCAAAGCAUUUCAUAGCAUUUCCGACAAAUAAGCCAUUCCGUCAAACUACUCAAAGCAUUUCUGACAAACAAGCUAUUCCGUCAAACUACUCAAAGCAUUUCCAUCAAACAAGUCAUUCCGUCAAACUACCCAAAUUUCAAUUUUUGAGCAAACAAGAUUUUCUCAAAGUCUUGUCCCACAAAUGUAUAGAUUUGAAGUGUAACACAAAUAUCAAUCUAAUUUAUGUUUUGUCCAUUAU